rfam:Trichobilharzia regenti genome assembly, scaffold: TRE_scaffold0005820
GUACUGCUGAAGAGUCCCAAGCUAGAACGAAACAGCUGUCCAGUAC